UACGUAGGGUGCGAGCGUUGUCCGGAAUUAUUGGGCGUAAAGGGCUCGUAGGCGGUUUGUCGCGUCGGGAGUGAAAACCAGGUGCUUAACACCUGGCUUGCUUUCGAUACGGGCAGACUAGAGUUCGGUAGGGGAGACUGGAAUUCCUGGUGUAGCGGUGAAAUGCGCAGAUAUCAGGAGGAACACCGGUGGCGAAGGCGGGUCUCUGGGCCGAAACUGACGCUGAGGAGCGAAAGCGUGGGGAGCAAACAGG
rnacentral:rRNA from 1 species